AAGGGUGAAGUAUAAUUUAAUUUACAUUUCAGUUACAUUGAAAAGAUCCAAAUUUUAGGCGUCCUUA
rnacentral:tRNA from 1 species